UUCACCCAGAAGAGUGUGUAAUUGUGCAGGUCCGCCACUUCCCAGCUAUGUGACCUUGCCUGAGUUACUCAACCUCUCUGAGACUCAGCCUGGGCCUGAAAGAGGCAUGAUAAUAUCAUAAUGCCUCCAAUCUACCUGGUCUGUUGGGAGUUAGAGACUAACGAGUUUCAAGCACUAAGUUGAACGUGAUUGUUGUAGAAGUCAUGGCUUCCCACUCUCCAGAUCAGCUUCCAGACUCCCUGGAGGACAUGCUGCUUAGUCACAGGCAAUGUCACUGGCACCCAGCCCUUGGGAAUCCCAUGCUGCAGGUUACCAGGUCACAGCUGAGUUGGAAAAGGGCAUUGGUCUGAGUCACGUGCCACCCCCCAACAUGCUCUCUCCCAGUGCAAACACCCCAGACUAGCUACUGAGCUCUCUGGUAGGGGGUCCAGUUCUGCUGAACCCCACAGCCCUUUGUCCUGGGCUGCACCUCCCCAGGCAGAUGAAAACAGCAGUUGUCAAGUAUGGCUGUCAAGUUCAGGUAGGAGCGGGCAUCUGAACUGCUGGCACUAUGGCGAAGCCUGGGCCCACCCUGGACCCCAUUCUGCCCACGGAGCUCUCCAAGAGGGAGCCCCAGAGGCACUCAGGGCUCUAAGUCCCACAUCCUUUACCCAAUACAUCUUCCCAGUUACUCAGCGGCCCCCAAGCACAUCCCAACCUUUCCACCCUCUCUCCUGAGUCUGGCUGCCUGGUGUCUUGUCCAAGGAUUCUCACUUCCCAACCCAUCAAUGCCCUUUCUCAUACUUGCCUCAGUGAUGCCUGACUUGACAGAAGCAGCUCAAAUAUCCCCUCCCCAAGCAACCCUCCAUCUGGGGCUCUGCUGGGCCUCCUCCAGGAGCCCUAGAGCCUCCAGCUUCAUCACAGCUUCCUAGAACUAGAACGGUCCUGGAUGACAAGGGAGCCAGCGCAUGAACAGAGUGGUUCAGUAGCAUUGGCCUGGUCCACUCCCAGCCCCAGAAAAGUAAGUGCUGUUGACCUUUUCAUGGUGGGGAGAAGCUGAGACUCAGGGAGGGCAGAGAAUUCAGCCAAGGUGGCACAGCACAUAGGUGGGGGGCCAGGGCGUGUCCUAUAUUUGGUUGUUUCUGCGCAUGUGCUGCCCCGGCCCCUUUGAGACUCAUCAUCUGAGAGAAAGGGGUGGGGGUGCAGGGCAAAUGGGACAGGGUGGCCCUGCAGAGAGCAGGUGGAUGAGGCUCCGACCCUGGGCUCCAGGAGUUAAAGAAAUUUGCUGAAAAUAAGCAGGCACAGGCCAUAGAAGAAAGCAAACUGUCUUCCAUCUAAACUGCUCAAGAGGUUCCCGGUCCAGACCUGCCCACCCACACCUCGGGCGCAGGUGCACUUUGUUCUCCACACCCCCAGUCACGUGCUGCCCAAUGGUUAAAGAUUGGAGGCCACUAGGUGUCCAUUCGUAAGGAAUGGUGCAAUCAGUCAGGAGAAUGUCAUAUGAUGGCACCCUCUGCAGCCAAGAUGGGAGGAGGAAGCCCUCACGGCUCUGAUCAGGAAUCGUUGCCAACAUGCAUUUGAAGUAAAAGAAAAUGCCAGGUGCGUAAUCAGGGAAAUGAAAACCUAACCUCACUUAAUGACGAUUGACCUGGAUCUGUCUGGCAGGUUUAAAAGGUGAUUAAGGGGAACUCUUACCGCAGGCAGGUGUGUGGAAAGUCACCACCACUUUAGAAAACUGAUCAGCAGCAUCUACUGAAGUCACCUGUGCAUUCAUUCCCUAGGACCCUGCCCAGGUCCUGGAGAAGUUCUGACUCAACCCUCACAAACACCAAGUGAGACAACUAGGCUCAUGCAUACCCCUGCUCUGCCUAGAAGCAAAAGCUAGAAAGCAACCCAAAUGUGCUCCAACAAGACGACGGAAAUGAACCCCAGUGUCUCCAUGCCAUGGAAUUCUGUGCAACAGUGAAGAUGGGCUGGGCUGGGUCUCAGUGGUGGAGCGCUCGCCUGGCACGUGUGAGGCCCUGGGUUCCAUCCUCAGCACCACAUACAAGUAAAUAAAUAAAACAAAGGCCACAACUAAGAAAGAAAGAAAGGAAGGAAGGAAGGAAGGAAGGAAGGAAGGAAGGAAGGAAGUAAAAAAGAAAAUGAUCAGUCUGCAGCUUCCUCUCAGCACCCUGAGUCUGGGGACUACAGUCAUGAUUGGGAUAAAAGUCAGAGAGGGCUACCAAAAGGUUGAGGAAGUAUGCAGUAUGUAUUUGCAGCAUUUUAUUAUAUUUAUUAUAUACAGUGCUUAUGUUUAUUAUAUCUACUGAAUGUACUACUUUUUUAUGAUUAUUUGAUUAUAGUAAAUACAUAUUUAUUAUAAUAUAU
rnacentral:lncRNA from 1 species